rnacentral:lncRNA from 1 species
GACAGACAGACGGACACCUGACAUUUGUAUACCAUAAUAGGUCCCGUCUUUGACGGACGUAUAAAAAGCAGUACUAAGCGUGCAUGUUACGCUAGAAACAUAUUCAAAGAAUACAGUUUUAUAACUUCUUAAUGUCAUAUCCAAUAUUUAUCAAAACCUAAAGGGGAGUUACAUGUAUCUUACUUCCUAUAUUUUUUCGUGGAUGUCAAUACACCUAAUCGCUAUUUAU